rnacentral:rRNA from 1 species
UAACGCUGGCGGCAUGCCUACCACAUGCAAGUCGAACGAGACCUUCGGGUCUAGUGGCGCACGGGUGCGUAACGCGUGGGAACCUGCCCUUAGGUUCGGAAUAACUCCCCGAAAGGGGUGCUAAUACCGGAUAAUGUCUUCGGACCAAAGAUUUAUCGCCUUUGGAUGGGCCCGCGUUGGAUUAGCUAGUUGGUAGGGUAAAAGCCUACCAAGGCGACGAUCCAUAGCUGGUCUGAGAGGAUGAUCAGCCACACUGGGACUGAGACACGGCCCAGACUCCUACGGGAGGCAGCAGUGGGGAAUAUUGGACAAUGGGCGAAAGCCUGAUCCAGCAAUGCCGCGUGAGUGAUGAAGGCCUUAGGGUUGUAAAGCUCUUUUACCCGGGAUGAUAAUGACAGUACCGGGAGAAUAAGCUCCGGCUAACUCCGUG